UACGUAGGGGGCUAGCGUUAUCCGGAUUUACUGGGCGUAAAGGGUGCGUAGGUGGUUUCUUAAGUCAGGAGUGAAAGGCUACGGCUUAACCGUAGUAAGCUCUUGAAACUGGGAAACUUGAGUGCAGGAGAGGAAAGUGGAAUUCCUAGUGUAGCGGUGAAAUGCGUAGAUAUUAGGAGGAACACCAGUAGCGAAGGCGGCUUUCUGGACUGUAACUGACACUGAGGCGCGAAAGCGUGGGGAGCAAACAGGAUUAGAUACUCCGGUAGUCCCUGAGCGGGCU
rnacentral:rRNA from 1 species